GUCACCAGGUCGCAAACUGGACCACACGUAACGCAGCCCUGGCUUCCGAGGUGCACUCCCACCGACAGAGCGAGCGGCUGCCGUUGGGUGGACUCACCACGUGGCGUGGGCAGGUUUCUUCAUUUUGCCAUUCUAGCAGGCAUACCGUAUGGUAGUGAUUGAGCACUUCCGUACAACUUUAGGUGUUCAUCACAGUGCGUGUCCUCCUCAGUCCCCAUCACCUGUUUUACCCAUCGCCCACCUUCCCUCUGGUCACCGGCAGUUUGUUCUCUAUCGGAACCUCCACACUGUGUUGCAGGGUGGCUGUGCAAGUCUGCAUUCCCACCAGCUAUGCAAGAGGUUCCCCUUUCUCCACAUCCUCACCAACACCAGCUGUUUCUUGUUUUGUUGUGUUCAGCAUGGACACUGAUACACUGUACAAGCCCUCAAGUGAUUAUAGAAUCCGGAUAACAAUGAAUUCAUUCCUCAAAGAGUUAAAAAACAAAGCAUCAGAUAAAAUUCACUUGACCAACACUUCCUGUGGAUACAGACAGAUGAACAAGAAGUUCUUGCUGUAAACUGUUUAUAAGCCUGGGGAGUCACUGACAUGCAAACAACUAGCCACCACACAAGAUGGACCAAAAAAUGUACCAUCAAAAGCAAAGUCUUAUGGAAAAACAGAGACAUAAGGAAAGCACCUCAGCAUUGGUGACAUUUCAUUUAAACCUCGAAGUGGGGUGGGGGACCUGAAAUGGAAGCAUUUAGCUGAGUAAGGCAGAGAGAGUCCGGCAGAACUGAACAGAAUCUGCCCGGGGGGGGCAGAAGGAAGAGAGCUAGGCCAUGGCGAGGCAGGUGGGAAGAAAGUGCAGGUAUUCUGGAAAAUAUGCAGUGGGGUUUGGACAUAAUACUCCACUGGGAAAGCACAUGGAAUGGCAAGUGUGGGUGUGUGUGGACAACUAGGUGAAUAUGGUGGCCAUCUGAAGGGGGGGGACCAAGGUGAUAAGGCAGGCAGUCACGUUAGUCUGGGUAUGAGAACGUAAUAAAGACCAGUGAGAAUGAAAGACAACAGGCAACGGAGACAUACUCUAAGUAGAAUCAAGUGGAUGUGAAGAUAGGAUAUUGGGGUUCGAGGUGGCAAUAGAGCAGUUUCCUCAUCUGUAACUUGGAAAUAUGAUUUACCAUGAAGACGAACUAUAUGCUUAACAUAAGGCUUGGAAGAUACGCUAGUAACUAUCAGUUCAGGCCUCUGUGCUGAGUUCUGGAUUCUCAUGCAGAGCUCAUCUUAUGGUGGAUGUCUCUGUUCCAAGUCCUAGAUUGAUAAUGGUACCUCUGUGCUUCCAGCACUUCCUGUGUCUCAUAAUCGGAUCACAAGCAGCACAGCCAGUCUAAUGCCUAGGGUGCCAUUCAGAAUCUGUAUGUAAUUUUUAAACAGCUAAGAAGCCACAGGCUGUAACACAGCUAAUGAGUCGUAUAGCAACCACAGAACCUUAGGAUAGCUGGAGGUUCCCUAAGCCACUCAUCCAUGGGGCGCCUCCUAUGUGCGCGAAAGGCAGUGUGGACUCAGAGAAGGGUAAGACAUCAUCUACGCCCCUGAAGACGGCCUACGUUCUAUUAGGAGAGACGAGCAUACCAGACAGAUGGCUCUCCUGCACACCUGACACCUCCUCAUGGCUGUGCUCUAUUCCUGAUCCAGCCGAGACCACAGGUUUGUCCUGGUCUGUCAAUUCCUACACACUCUGCACAGGUCAGCUCACAGGGCACUUCCUCGUGGAUGCCUUCCCCAGUACCUCUAGGAAAAGUCCUCCAGGCUUGCCCUUUGAGGCUCCAUGAGCUGCCUUCCCCUGCAGCAAGCCCUGUGACAGCACUUGGCAGAUGUACAGAUGACACCGCAGCACCAAGGAGACCGUGGUACCAGAGGGUGAGCACUUAAACCUUGAGGCCUGGCUCCACUGGAAGCUAAUGAAUUUAUUUUCACCUUGGGUUUUUUUUUCAUCAGUAAAAUUGGAAAAAUCAUCAGAUCUGACUCACACAACAGACAUAAAAGCUUUCUUUGAAGUCACAACAUGCCAAGUGAAGACAAGAUUCCACCCCUGUCCUACCACUUACUCGAGGCAUGCUCCUAGUUAACACCCUUACUCAUUCGUACUAAGGCUACUUCUUAACUGUGACAUGGGAUCAUGAUAGCAGGUAACCUCAUACGAUAUUUUUUUUGUAUAGUAUUUUUAUUGUUAGGGGUAUUAGGACAAUAAAACCAUGGAAGAAAAAGCAUUUAGUCUAAUGGUUGGCACAGAAAGUCAUGAAUAAAUUUUACCUAUUACUACAUAAUU